rnacentral:rRNA from 1 species
UUUUUCUUUUUUUUUUAAAGCGGAGGAAAAGAAACCAACAGGGAUUGCCUCAGUAGCGGCGAGUGAAGCGGCAAGAGCUCAGAUUUGAAAUCGUGCUUUGCGGCACGAGUUGUAGAUUGCAGGUUGGAGUCUGUGUGGAAGGCGGUGUCCAAGUCCCUUGGAACAGGGCGCCCAGGAGGGUGAGAGCCCCGUGGGAUGCCGGCGGAAGCAGUGAGGCCCUUCUGACGAGUCGAGUUGUUUGGGAAUGCAGCUCCAAGCGGGUGGUAAAUUCCAUCUAAGGCUAAAUACUGGCGAGAGACCGAUAGCGAACAAGUACUGUGAAGGAAAGAUGAAAAGCACUUUGAAAAGAGAGUGAAACAGCACGUGAAAUUGUUGAAAGGGAAGGGUAUUGCGCCCGACAUGGGGAUUGCGCACCGCUGCCUCUCGUGGGCGGCGCUCUGGGCUUUCCCUGGGCCAGCAUCGGUUCUUGCUGCAGGAGAAGGGGUUCUGGAACGUGGCUCUUCGGAGUGUUAUAGCCAGGGCCAGAUGCUGCGUGCGGGGACCGAGGACUGUGGCCGUGUAGGUCACGGAUGCUGGCAGAACGGCGCAACACCGCCCGUCUUGAAAAAGAAAACCAAAA